GGCUUAGAGUUUGAUCAUGGCUCAGGACGAACGCUGGCGGCGCGCCUAACACAUGCAAGUCGAACGGGGUUGAGAGGAGCUUGCUUUUCUUGACUUAGUGGCGAACGGGUGAGUAACGCGUGAGGAACCUGCCUCAAAGAGGGGGACAACAGUUGGAAACGACUGCUAAUACCGCAUAAGCCCACGGUCCCGCAUGGGAGAGAGGGAAAAGGAGCAAUCCGCUUUGAGAUGGCCUCGCGUCCGAUUAGCUGGUUGGUGAGGUAACGGCCCACCAAGGCGACGAUCGGUAGCCGGACUGAGAGGUUGAACGGCCACAUUGGGACUGAGACACGGCCCAGACUCCUACGGGAGGCAGCAGUGGGGAAUAUUGCACAAUGGGGGAAACCCUGAUGCAGCGACGCCGCGUGGAGGAAGAAGGUCUUCGGAUUGUAAACUCCUGUUGUUGGGGAAAAAGAGGAUGGUACCCAACAAGGAAGUGACGGCUAACUACGUGCCAGCAGCCGCGGUAAAACGUAGGUCACGAGCGUUGUCCGGAAUUACUGGGUGUAAAGGGAGCGCAGGCGGGUAUGCAAGUUGGGAGUGAAAUACAUGGGCUCAACCCAUGAACUGCUCUCAAAACUGUGUAUCUUGAGUAGUGCAGAGGUAGGCG
rnacentral:rRNA from 1 species